rnacentral:rRNA from 1 species
UACGUAGGGCGCGAGCGUUGUCCGGAUUUAUUGGGCGUAAAGAGCGUGUAGGCGGCUAGAUAGGUCCGUUGUGAAAACUCGAGGCUCAACCUCGAGACGUCGAUGGAAACCAUCUGGCUAGAGUCCGGAAGAGGAGAGUGGAAUUCCUGGUGUAGCGGUGAAAUGCGCAGAUAUCAGGAAGAACACCCGUGGCGAAGGCGGCUCUCUGGUACGUGACUGACGCUGAGACGCGAAAGCGUGGGGAGCAAACAGG